rnacentral:rRNA from 1 species
GACGAACGCUGGCGGCGUGCUUAACACAUGCAAGUCGAACGGUGAAGGGGCCUGCUUUUGUGGGUCCUGGAUGAGUGGCGAACGGGUGAGUAACACGUGAGUAACCUGCCCCCUUCUUCUGGAUAACCGCAUGAAAGUGUGGCUAAUACGGGAUAUUCUGGGUCUGUCGCAUGGUGGGCCUGGGAAAGGUUUUUUUCCGGUGGGGGGUGGGCUCGCGGCCUAUCAGCUUGUUGGUGGGGUGAUGGCCUACCAAGGCGGUGACGGGUAGCCGGCCUGAGAGGGUGGACGGCCACACUGGGACUGAGACACGGCCCAGACUCCUACGGGAGGCAGCAGUGGGGAAUAUUGCACAAUGGGCGCAAGCCUGAUGCAGCGACGCCGCGUGAGGGAUGGAGGCCUUCGGGUUGUGAACCUCUUUCGCCAGUGAAGCAGGCCUGCUCCUUUUUUGUGGGUGGGUUGACGGUAGCUGGAUAAGAAGCGCCGGCUAACUACGUGCCAGCAGCCGCGGUAAUACGUAGGGCGCGAGCGUUGUCCGGAAUUAUUGGGCGUAAAGAGCUCGUAGGCGGCUGGUCGCGUCUGUCGUGAAAUCCUCUGGCUUAACUGGGGGCUUGCGGUGGGUACGGGCCGGCUUGAGUGCGGUAGGGGAGGCUGGAACUCCUGGUGUAGCGGUGGAAUGCGCAGAUAUCAGGAAGAACACCGGUGGCGAAGGCGGGUCUCUGAGCCGUUACUGACGCUGAGGAGCGAAAGCGUGGGGAGCGAACAGG